rnacentral:hammerhead_ribozyme from 1 species
AUCCAGUUGACCAGUCCCAAAUAGGAAGAAACGAGCGUUCUGGAU